UACAGAGACCUCAAGCGUUAUCCGGAAUCAUUGGGCGUAAAGCGUACCGAUAGGUGGUUAUGCAAGUCAGAUGUGAAAUCUCCGAGCUCAACUCGGAAUCUGUCAUUUGAAACUGCACAACUAGAGGGGCAAAGAGGAAGCUAGAACGAACGGUGUAGUAGUGAAAUGCGUUGAUAUCGUUCGGAAUACCGAUAGCGAAGGCAGGCUUCUGGGUGCCACCUGACACUGCUAGGACGAAAGCGUGGGGAGCGAACAGG
rnacentral:rRNA from 1 species